rnacentral:rRNA from 1 species
UAGUGGCGAACGGGUGAGUAACACGUGAGUAACCUGCCCUUGACUCUGGGAUAAGCGUUGGAAACGACGUCUAAUACCGGAUAUGACCCCUACCGGCAUCGGUUGGGGGUGGAAAGAUUUUUUGGUCAAGGAUGGACUCGCGGCCUAUCAGGUAGUUGGUGAGGUAAUGGCUCACCAAGCCGACGACGGGUAGCCGGCCUGAGAGGGUGACCGGCCACACUGGGACUGAGACACGGCCCAGACUCCUACGGGAGGCAGCAGUGGGGAAUAUUGCACAAUGGGCGAAAGCCUGAUGCAGCAACGCCGCGUGAGGGACGACGGCCUUCGGGUUGUAAACCUCUUUUAGUAGGGAAGAAGGGAGCUUGCUCUUGACGGUACCUGCAGAAAAAGCACCGGCUAACUACGUGCCAGCAGCCGCGGUAAUACGUAGGGUGCAAGCGUUGUCCGGAAUUAUUGGGCGUAAAGAGCUCGUAGGCGGUUUGUCGCGUCUGCUGUGAAAUCUGGGGGCUCAACCCCCAGCCUGCAGUGGGUACGGGCAGACUAGAGUGCGGUAGGGGAGAUUGGAAUUCCUGGUGUAGCGGUGGAAUGCGCAGAUAUCAGGAGGAACACCGAUGGCGAAGGCAGAUCUCUGGGCCGUAACU